UACGUAGGCAGCAAGCGUUGUUCGGAGUUACUGGGCGUAAAGGGUGUGUAGGCGGUUCUUUAAGUUUGCUGUGAAAUCUCCCGGCUUAACCGGGAGGGUGCGGUGAAUACUGAGGGACUAGAGUACGGGAGAGGAAAGUGGAAUUCCUGGUGUAGCGGUGAAAUGCGUAGAUAUCAGGAGGAACACCGGUGGUGUAGACGGCUUUCUGGACCGUAACUGACGCUGAGACACGAAAAGCGUGGGUAGCAAACAGG
rnacentral:rRNA from 1 species